rnacentral:sRNA from 1 species
GUAUGUGAGAGCAAUCUGGCUGUGACAUCUAUCACCCCUUUGAUCACCAAAGUGGAUUCAGAUGAUCUGACUUAAUAGGUAGGUGUUGCAUUCCUCCCUCACUACUCCAAUCUGGUCUAUCCACAACUGUGUGAUUGGUCCAAGAGGAGGGACUUUGCUUGACUUUAUACCUGUGAGAGUAUAUAACUAAUGUAUAUAACUAAUUGUGCUCCCAGGCUGGAACCUCCAGACAAGUUCUCUCUACAUUCCUGUUUCUAUGAGCCACACAUGUUUUC